GAUGAAGAACGAAGCGAAAUGCGAUAAGUAAUGUGAAUUGCAGAAUUCAGUGAAUCAUCGAAUCUUUGAACGCACAUUGCGCCCGCCAGUAUUCUGGCGGGCAUGCCUGUUCGAGCGUCAUUUCAACCAUCAAGCCCCCGGCUUGUGUUGGGGACCUGCGGCUGCCGCAGGCCCUGAAAACCAGUGGCGGGCUCGCUGUCACACCGAGCGUAGUAGAUUUUCAUCUCGCUCAGGGCGUGCUGCGGGUUCCGGCCGUAAAAAGCCUUAUUUACCCAAGGUUGACCUCGGAUCAGGUAGGAAGACCCGCUGAACUUAAGCAUAUCAAUAAGCGGAGGA
rnacentral:misc_RNA from 1 species